AACGCACAUUGCGCCCGCCAGUAUUCUGGCGGGCAUGCCUGUCCGAGCGUCAUUUCAACCCUCGAACCCCUCCGGGGGGUCGGCGUUGGGGAUCGGCCUUCCUUCACGGGGGCCGUCUCCGAAAUACAGUGGCGGUCUCGCCGCAGCCUCUCCUGCGCAGUAGUUUGCACACUCGCAUCGGGAGCGCGGCGCGUCCACAGCCGUUAAACACCCAACUUUCUGAAAUGUUGACCUCGGAUCAGGUAGGAAUACCCGCUGAACUUAA
rnacentral:misc_RNA from 1 species